rnacentral:rRNA from 1 species
GACGAACGCUGGCGGCGUGCCUAACACAUGCAAGUCGUACGGUAAGGUCCUUUCGGGGGUACACGAGUGGCGUACGGGGGAGUAACACGCGAGUAACCUGCCCACAACUUUGGGAUAACGCUAGGAAACUGGUGCUAAUACUGGAUAUGUGCCCCUGCUGCCUGGUGGGGGGUGGAAAGCUCCGGCGGUUGUGGAUGGACUCGCGGCCUAUCAGCUUGUUGGUGGGGUAGUGGCCUACCAAGGCGGCGACGGGUAGCUGGCCUGAGAGGGUGACCGGCCACAUUGAGACUGAGAUACGGCCCAGACUCCGACGGGAGGCAGCAGUGGGGAAGAUUGAUCCAGGGGCGCAGGCCUGAUGCAGCAACGCCGCGGGCGGGAUGACGGCCUUCGGGUUGUGGACGGCUUUCAGCAGGGACGAGGCUUUUUGUGACGGUACCUGCAGAAGAAGCACCGGCUAACUACGUG